CCCGAGGAGAGAGAGGAGAGGGAGAUAGAAAAGAGCCGCACACAGGACCCACUAUCUCUUUGCUUUUUACACCGCACCGUGACGGGACCGCGCGGGGAGGAGGACCGCGCACACACACUGCGCUCACUGUGAGCGGCGCACUGAGCGGAGAGGAGACGAGGAGGACGGACCGCAGGACGCAGCAGGACUCUCAUCGAGCCUCAUCCAGACGACAAACUACAACGGGAGAAAGCAAGCGCUUAGAGAGGGAGCGGUCCUGAGUUGAACAGACUCCACCCUUAUCCCAGCCAGUGAACGGAGAGACACCCGAGAGCAUAAAAAUGAGUGGCUCCCACCCCCGCCUCCACCAGAGCGCCGCGCCUGCUCCCAACGCUCUCUCCCCCGACAAGGACGCAGAAAUGCCCGCCACGGAGAAAGACCUGGCCGAGGACGCUCCCUGGAAGAAGAUCCAGCAGAACACCUUCACCCGCUGGUGUAACGAGCACCUGAAAUGCGCAAACAAGCGGCUCGCAAACCUCCAGACGGACCUGGGAGACGGACUGCGGCUCAUCAGUCUCCUGGAGGUCCUGUCCCAGAAGAAGAUGUUCAGAAAGUACAACCAGAGGCCGACCUUCCGUCAGAUGCAGCUGGAGAACGUCUCGGUGGCUUUGGAGUUCCUGGACAAAGAGAAUAUCAAGUUGGUCUCCAUAGACUCUAAAGCCAUCGUGGAUGGGAACCUGAAGCUGAUCCUGGGUCUGAUCUGGACCCUGAUCCUCCACUACUCCAUCUCCAUGCCCAUGUGGGACGAGGAGGAGGAGGCGGACGACUCCGGCCGCCAGAAGACCCCCAAGCAGCGCCUGCUGGGCUGGAUCCAGAACAAGCUGCCCGAGCUGCCCAUCACCAACUUCAGCAAGGACUGGCAGAGCGGCCGGGCACUGGGGGCACUGGUCGACAGCUGCGCUCCAGGUCUCUGCCCUGACUGGGACCAGUGGGACCAGAGCAAGCCGGUGGACAACGCCCGGGAGGCCAUGCAGCAGGCGGAUGACUGGCUGGGGAUCCCCCAGGUGAUCACUCCAGAGGAGAUCGUUGACCCCAACGUGGACGAGCAUUCGGUCAUGACCUACCUGUCCCAGUUCCCCAAAGCCAAGCUGAAGCCCGGCGCUCCCCUGAGGCCCAAGCUCAACCCAAAGAAGGCGCGCGCCUACGGACCAGGCGUGGAGCCCACCGGCAACGUGGUGAUGAAGAAGGCGGUGUUCACCGUGGAAACCAUCAGCGCUGGGAUGGGAGAGGUGCUGGUGUACGUGGAGGACCCUGCGGGACACAGAGAGGAGGCUAAAGUGACGGCCAACAACGAUAAGAACCGCACCUACUCCGUAUUCUACAUUCCCAAAGUCACUGGAAUGCACAAGGUCACGGUGCUGUUUGCAGGACAGCACAUCUCCAAGAGCCCCUUUGAGGUUGAGGUUGGCAUGGCCCAGGGAGACUCCACCAAGGCCACCGCCCAGGGACCUGGCCUGGAGCUGACGGGAAACAUCGCAAACAAGGCCACCUACUUUGACGUUUACACCGCAGGCGCUGGUGUUGGGGAGGUGGAGGUGGUGAUCAUGGACCCCACCGGUAAGAAGAACACGGUGGAGUGCACCAUCGAGGACAAGGGCAACAGCAGCUACCGCUGCACAUACAAGCCCACCCAGGAGGGCCAGCACAUCGUCUACGUCACCUUCGCCGGGGGGGGCCAUCAGCAAGAGCCCCUUCACUGUCACCGUGGGAGAAGCCUGUAACCCUAGCCUGUGCAGGGCCAAGGGCCGCGGGCUGCAGCCCAAGGGCCUCAGGGUGAAGGAGACGGCCGACUUCAAGGUCUACACCAAGGGAGCAGGCACCGGGGAGCUCAAGGUCACCAUCAAGGGCCCCAAGGGUCUUGAGGAGCCGUGCAAGAGGAAGGAUCUUGGAGACGGAGUGUAUGGCUUCGACUACUACCCCACCAACCCCGGGACCUACAGCAUCACCAUCACCUGGGGCGGACAGCACAUCCCUCGCAGCCCCAUCGAGGUGAAGAUCGGGGCGGAGGCGGGGCAGCAGAAGGUGCGGGCCUGGGGCCCCGGGCUGGACGGAGGCGUGGUCGGGAAGUCGGCUGACUUUGUGGUGGAGGCGGUCGGCGACAACGUGGGCACGCUGGGCUUCUCCGUGGAGGGGCCCUCCCAGGCCAAGAUCGAGUGUGACGACAAGGGCGACGGCUCGUGCGACGUGCGCUACUGGCCCACGGAGGCCGGCGAGUACGCCGUGCACGUGCUCUGCAACAGCGAGGACAUCCAGCACUCGCCCUUCAUGGCGGAAAUCGUCAACCCGCCGGCGAAAGACUUCUACCCCGACAAGGUGAAGGCCUUCGGUCCCGGUCUGCAGAGCACUGGGCUGGCUGUGGGGAAACCCACAGAGUUCACCGUCGACGCCAAGCUGGGAGGCAAAGCGCCCCUGAAGAUCGUGGCUCAGGACGGGGAAGGGACCCCCGUGGAUGUCCAGAUGAAGGACAACGGCAACGGGACGUACGCCUGCACCUACACCCCCCGCAAGGCCCUGAAGCACACGGUGAUGGUCUCCUGGGGCGGGAUCAACAUCCCGGACAGCCCCUUCAGGAUGACCAUCGGCGCCGGCUGCCACCCCAACAAGGUGAAGGUGUCUGGACCGGGAGUGGCCAAGACCGGCCUCAAGGCCUUCGAGCCCACCUACUUCACGGUGGACUGCGCCGAAGCCGGCCAAGGGGACAUCAGCAUCGGGAUCAAGUGUGCUCCCGGAGUGGUGGGCCCGGCCGAGGCGGACAUCGACUUCGACAUCAUCCGCAACGACAACGACACCUUCACCGUCAAGUACACACCGCCCGGCGCCGGCAGCUACACCAUCAUGGUGCUCUUCGCCGACCAGGCCAUCCCGAUGACCCCCAUCAGGAUCAAGGUGGACCCGUCCCACGACGCCAGCAAGGUGAAGGCGGAGGGGCCCGGACUCAGCCGCAGUGGUGUGGAUCUGAACAAGCCGACCCACUUCACGGUCAACACCAAGGGCGCCGGCAAGGCCAAGCUGGACGUGGCCUUCAGCGGGCCGACCAAAGCCGAGGCCGUCAAGGACUUUGAGAUCAUCAACAACCACGACAACACGCACACUGUGAAGUACACGCCUGUGCAGCAGGGUGCUCUAGGGCUGGCUGUGACCUACGGAGGAGACAACAUCCCCAAGAGCCCCUUCAGCGUGGGCGUGGUGCCCUCGCUGGACCUCAGCAAGAUCCAGGUCACCGGCCUCGGCAACAACAUGACCGUGGGCAAGGACCAGGAGGUGACUGUGAAGUCCAAGGGCGCCGGCGGCCAGGGCAAGGUCGCCGCCAAGGUGACCGGGCCUGCAGGAAAGCCUGUGGCCAGCAAGGUGGAGCCAGGCCUGAGCCCGGAGACCAGCCAGGUGAAGUUCAUCCCCCGGGAGCAGGGGGCCGUACCAGGUGGAGCUGACCCUACGACGGAGCUCCCAUCCCCGGCUCACCCUUCAAGCCCACCGCCUACCCGUCCACAGACCCUUCCAAGGUGCGCUGCUCCGGCCCAGGCCUGGACGGGCCAAGGUGGGGGAGACGGGGGAGUUCGUGGUGGACUGUACCAACGCCUGGGCCUGCCGAGCUGACCAUCGAGAUCAUCUCCGACAGCGGCACCGAGGCGGAGGGUCCACAUCCAGGACAACGUGGACGGGACCUACACCAUCACCUACAUCCCGCUCUACCCGGGCUCCUACACGCUGACCAUCCGCUACGGGGGCCAGGACGUGCCAAACUUCCCCGCGCGCCUCAACGUGGAGCCGGCCGUGGACGCCAGCGGCGUGCGCGUCUUCGGGCCCGGAGUCGAGGGCAAAGGUACCAGUUGGAACGGGGGCGUGUUCCGCGAGGCCACCACAGACUUCACGGUGGACGCCCGUGCGCAUCACGCAGAGAGGUGGGCGGCGACCAAUCAAGACCCUGAUCAGCACCCAUCAGCAGCCGGACGGACGCCCUGGUCAGGGACCUGGGAGACGGGACCUACAGUGUAGAGUACACGCCCUACGAGGAGGGACCCCACAGCGUGGAGGUGGCCUACGACAGCAGUCCGGUUCCCAAGAGCCCGUUCCGCGUGGCGGUCUCGGAGGGCUGUGACCCGGGCGCGUGCGUGUGCACGGCCCGGGGCUGAAGGGGGGGCAUCACCAACAAGGGCCAACAAGUUCACCGUGGAGACCCGCGGGGCGGGCACCGGGGGGGCUUCGGCCUGGCCGUGGAGGGGCCCUCGGAGGCCAAGAUGUCGUGCACUCGAUAACAGGACGGCAGCUGCAGCGUGGAGUACAUCCCCUAUACGAGGCGGGCACCUACAACCUGAACAUCACCUACGGCGGCCAGCCCAUUACCGGUAGCCGUGUCUCGGUGCCGGUCAGCGACACGGUGGACAGCACCAAGGUGAAGUGCCAGGGGCCCGGCCUGGGGGCCAACGUCAGGGCCAACGUGCCCAGGCCUUCACCGUGGACCGCCUCCAAGGCGGGCGUGGCCCCACUACAGGUCCGCGUGCAGGGACCCAAGGGUAAGGGCCCCCGCAGGGGGGGGUCUGUGGAGCCCGUAGAGCUGGUGGAUAAUGGGACCAGACUCACACCGUCAACUACGUCCCCACAAAGGAGGGGGCCCGGUACUCCAUCACGUGCUCUAUGCCGAUGAGGAGAUCCCCCGCAGCCCCUACAAGGUGAAGGUGCUGCCCACCCACGACGCCAGCAAGGUGCGUGCCAGCGGGCCGGGCCUCAACACCACCGGGGUGCCCGCCUCGCUGCCCGUCGAGUUCACCAUCGACGCCAAGUGACGCCGGAGAGGGGCCUGCUGGCCGUGCAGAUCACGGACCCGAGAGGGCAAGCCCAAGAAGGCCAACAUCCGGGACAACAGGACGGGACUUACCUUGUGUCCUACGUCCCGGACAUGACGGGCCGCUACAAAACCAUUCUCAUCAAGUAAGCGGCGGGGACGAGAUCCCCUACUCGCCCUAUCGCAUCCGCGCCCUGCCCACCGGGGGACGCCAGCAAGUGCAGCGUCACAGGCGCGGGCGUGGGGCCCACCAUCCAGAUCGGAGAGCAGACGGUGAUCACGGUGGACGCCAAGGCGGCGGGGAAGGGCAAGGUGACGUGCAGCGUGUGCACGCCGGAGGGGGUGGAGCUGGACGUGGACGUGGUGGAGAACGAGGACGGCACCUUCGACAUCUUCUACACGGCGCCGCAGCCCGGGGAGUACGUGAUCUGCGUGCGCUUCGGCGGCGAGCACAUCCCCAACAGCCCCUUCCAAGUGACGGCGCUGGAAGGUGCUCCGUCAGACCAGUGCAUUCAGACGAGCCAAAUGCCCCAGUACUACGUUCCACAAUCCUGGGCCACCGACCGACCCCUGGGCAUGAAUGGCAUGGAUGUGGCCGGCCUGAGGCCCUUCGACCUGGUCAUCCCCUUCACCAUCCAGAAGGGAGAGAUCACCGGAGACGUCCGCAUGCCGUCCGGCAAGGUGGCCAAGCCCGACAUCGCCGACAACAAGGACGGCACGGUCACUGUGAAGUACGCCCCGGUGGAGGCCGGGCUUCAUGAGAUGGACAUCAAGUACGACGGGAUCCACAUCCCCGGGAGCCCGCUGCAGUUCUACGUCGACUACAUGAACAGCGGCAACGUCAGCGCCUACGGCCCGGGCCUCAUCCACGGGACGGUCAACAAGCCCGCCGUCUUCACGGUCAACACCAAGGACGCAGGAGAGGGUGGGCUGUCCCUGGCCAUCGAGGGGCCAUCCAAGGCAGACAUCAGCUGCGUGGACAACCAGGACGGGACCUGCACUGUGUCCUACCUGCCCGUCCUGCCGGGAGACUACAGCAUCCUGGUGAAGUACAACGACAAGCACAUCCCCGGGAGCCCCUUCGCCGCCAGGAUCACUGGUGACGAUUCCUUGAGGAUGUCUCAACUGAAGGUGGGCUCGUCCGCUGACAUCCCGUUGGACAUCGGCGACCUGGACCUGAGUCAGCUGACGGCAUCUCUGACCACGCCCUCUGGCCGCGAGGAGCCCUGCCUGCUGAAGAUGCUCCGUGACGGACACGUUGGCAUCUCGUUCUUCCCCAAGGAGAUCGGCGAGCACCUGGUGAACAUCAAGAAGAACGGCCGCCACAUCCCGAGCAGUCCCAUCGCCGUGAUGAUCAGCCAGUCGGAGAUCGGCGACGCCAGCCGCGUGCGCGUCAGCGGCCAGGGCCUGAGCGAGGCCCGCACCUUCGAGCCCGCCCAGUUCAUCAUCGACACGCGCAACGCAGGCUACGGGGGUCUGAGUCUGUCCAUCGAGGGCCCCAGUAAGGUGGACAUCAACACGGAGGACCAGGAGGACGGGACCUGCAAGGUGACCUACUGCCCCACCGAGCCGGGGAACUACAUCAUCAACAUCAAGUUCGCAGACCAGCAUGUUCCAGGAAGUGCGUUCACAGUCAAGGUGACGGGCGAGGGCCGGAUGAAGGAGAGCAUCACGAGGAAGAGGAGAGCGGCAUCGGUAGCCAACGUGGGCAGCCAGUGUGACCUCAGCCUCAAGAUCCCAGAGAUCAGCAUAGCCGACAUGACGGCGCAGGUGACCAGUCCCUCGGGACAGGUGCACAAGGCGGACAUCAUGGAGGGGGAGAACAACACCUACUGCAUCCGCUUCGUGCCCACGGAGACCGGCGUGCACACGGUGUGCGUCAAGUACAACGGCUCCCACGUGCCCGGCAGCCCCUUCCAGUUCACCGUGGGGCCCCUGGGAGAGGGGGGCGCCCACAAGGUGCGGGCCGGGGGCCCGGGUCUGGAGCGAGCCGAGGCUGGGGUACCAGCCGAGUUCAGCAUCUGGACCAGAGAGGCGGGCGCCGGGGGGCUCAGCAUCGCGGUGGAGGGGCCCAGCAAGGCGGAGAUCGCCUUCGAGGACCGCAAAGACGGCUCCAGCGGAGUGUCCUACAUCGUGCAGGAACCUGGUGACUACGAGGUGUCCAUCCGCUUCAACGACGAGCACAUCCCCGACAGCCCCUUUGUGGUGCCUGUGGCCUCGCCCUCGGACGACGCCCGCCGCCUCACUGUUGCCAGUCUUCAGGAGUCGGGCCUGAAGGUGAACCAGCCGGCGUCGUUCGCCGUCAGCCUGAACGGCGCCAAGGGCGUCAUCGACGCCAAGGUCCACAGCCCGUCCGGAGCGCUGGAGGAGUGCUGCGUCACCGAGAUCGACCAAGAUAAGUACGCAGUGCGGUUUAUCCCCAGAGAGAACGGCCUGUAUCUCAUCGACGUCAAGUUCAACGGCAGCCACAUCCCCGGCAGUCCCUUCAAGAUCCGCGUGGGGAGACGGGGCAGGCUGGAGACCCGGGCAUGGUGUCGGCCUACGGAGCCGGCCUGGAGGGGGGCACCACAGGCACUGCUUGUGAAUUUGUGGUGAACACCAGCAACGCGGGCCCCGGGGCCUGGCGGUGACGAUCGACGGGCCCUCCAAGGUGAAGAUGGACUGUGUGGAGUGUUCAGAGGGCUACCGGGUGACCUACACCCCCAUGGCCCCUGGCAACUAUCUCAUCUCCAUCAAAUACGGCGGGCCCUACCACAUCGGAGGCAGCCCCUUCAAGGCCAAGAUCACCGGUUCCAAGUUGGUGUCCAGUCACAGCAUGCAUGAGACCUCCUCCGUGAUGGUGGACCCCGUGACCCGCGCCAUCAGUGGCACCCAGCAGGGGGUCCCCCCUAAAUCGGACGCCACCAAGGUGGUGGCCAAGGGCGUCGGGCUCACCAAGGCCUACGUCGGACAGAAGAACAGCUUCAGUGUGGACUGCAGCAAAGCAGGGCGGAACAUGCUUCUGGUCGGGGUGGACGGCCCCAAGGUGCCCUGUGAGGAGAUCCUGGUCAAGCAUCUGGGUAACCGGAUGUACAACGUCAGCUACCAGCUGAAGGACAAGGGGGAGUACAUCCUGGUGGUCAAGUGGGGAGAGGACCACAUCCCCGGCAGCCCCUACCACAUCACCGUCUGACACCACCCACUGCACCACUCAUUCCCAGCAACUGAAAUCCUUAAUUAUAUUAUAUAACUAUCAUUGCCUGUGAUAUUGCUGUUUACAAAUUCUUUGCCUCUUGUGUUAACGUUGAAAUACCAGGAUUCCCAGUUUCGUCAAACUCGCCUGUGUCGUGGUUUGCACAAAUUCAGUGUUUGCUGUUCGGCAAAAAAAGGCGCGUUCCGGUGAUGCGUCGUCUGUUUUGAGCGUUGCGUAGCCGCUACAGAGGUUCCUGUACGGCGAGGGGAACUCAGUGAUUGAGCGUAGCCAAAACACUGAGCCGCUUUCCAAGAAGUCCCUCAGUCGGAACGCGCCUAAUCUAAAUAUUUGGAAUUCAGAUAUCCCCUACUGCCAUUUUUGUUUUUUUACGAAAAAAAUGUAUCCUUUCACACUGAAUAUUACCACUACAUGUGGCACCUCUAUCAUCCUCUACAACCCUAUCCAAAUCCUGUCCCCAUGUCGUCACGUGUUCAAACAUGGACAAUGUCAAUGGUUAUUCCUAGCGCUGUGGUUUAGUAAAUACAGUGGUGGCCUGAAUCCAGUCAGUGUGUUGAUUGUAAUGCUUGCCAACUUGCUCCCUCAUGUUUAAUCUGCUGCUAGUGUGAUCCAUUUAGGCACUCCUAUUUUGAAACUUUAACUCAUGAUAAGAUUGAGGAAAGGUCUACUGGCAAAGGAAGGGUGUGUGUAAAGUAUUGCGUGGAGCGCAGGGGUGUGGCUCUCCAUGCCGCUGGCUGGAGCCGAGGUUCUGAGGACAACAAAGUGUUUAGGGUAGCGUCCAGGCCUUAUGCUUCCUACACCUGCCUGACACUGAUUAGGUUUCAGGAUGUUCUUUCUCACAGGAUCCAGAAGUAUUCUAUGCUGCCUUGUUUUACAGCUCGCACACAGGGAAUGGAAACACCUGAAGACUAGAUGAACUGAGCAGAAAUAAGAAAGUUGAAGGCUUUCCAUGUCUUACUGUUUCAUACAGACAUGUUGGUUUGGGUACAACAGAAGGGACAUUUCUAGAGAGGGGCUUUGCAGGAGAAUAUUUGUUGUGAAAUUGAAUCACCUGAAGAGAGGGACAUUAACAAGAAAUGAGAACAAAUGUUGCUUAGUUUUUCCUGCACCCAUUCCGCUGCCACGCCCUUUUUCUUUGGCUUUGUGUGUACUCAGUAUUUUUGAAAAACAAAUUGAAUCGUCUUGAAAAAAUAAUGGGCUUUUAAAGUGUUUGUAAGACAGUAUUUUGAUAAACAAUAAAGUUGUCUACGUAUUUUUCUGUCAA